AGUGAACGCUGGCGGCAGGCUUAACACAUGCAAGUCGAACGAGCUCGCCUUUGGGUGGGUUAGUGGCGAACGGGUGAGUAGCACGUGGGUGAGCUGCCCUGCACUUUGGGAUAAGCCUGGGAAACUGGGUCUAAUACCGGAUAGGACCAUGGCCUGCAUGGGUUGUGGUGGAAAGCUUUUGCGGUGUGGGAUGGGCCCGCGGCCUAUCAGCUUGUUGGUGGGGUGAUGGCCUACCAAGGCGACGACGGGUAGCCGGCCUGAGAGGGUGUCCGGCCACACUGGGACUGAGAUACGGCCCAGACUCCUACGGGAGGCAGCAGUGGGGAAUAUUGCACAAUGGGCGCAAGCCUGAUGCAGCGACGCCGCGUGGGGGAUGACGGCCUUCGGGUUGUAAACCUCUUUCAAUAGGGACGAAGCGUGAGUGACGGUACCUAUAGAAGAAGCACCGGCCAACUACGUGCCAGCAGCCGCCGUAAAAC
rnacentral:rRNA from 1 species